rnacentral:lncRNA from 1 species
GCCCUGCUUCCUUUCCUCUAGCAAUCAGUAUGCCCAGCAUGUCUACCACUAUAUUAAAUAGUAUUGGCGACAUUGGGUCACCCUGCCAUAAGCCUUUUCUUGUUUGAAAGUAUGAACCUAGUUGGUCCUUAACCUUAAUAUUAACAUUUCCCCCUUGUGUGAAGUGCUCCACCCAUUUGCACCAUUUUUGUGAAACCCUUUCAUCCUUAGUGUUUGUUGUAGAAAACUCUAUUUUACCUUGUCAUAAGCAUUUUGUUGGCGACGCUUAUUAUAUAAAAAUAAAUAUCUUUUUAUAAAUAAAAAUAAAUAGAAAAAUAGGGAUUUGAUCUAAUCUUUCCACGAGUUUUGGUAUAUAUGCUGUUUUGUUUUCACGUAUGACCCGUGGAAAAGUGCAAAAGAUACAAGAAAUGCGCAAUGCAAGAAUUCGUAUUUAGAAAAGACGCAAACCAACUCCAAUAGAGAAAAGCCUACAAAAGAUGAACUGGACCCAUCCGUAACCACGAGGAGGAUCAGGGCCCAGAGCACAACCGACCACGCGAAGGUGGUGGCCAGGGGGGCCCACCCAGGUUGCGGGCGCAACCCUGGUGGCGGUUCCCCGGCCCCACCUUCUUCUGGCGGUUGCAUGGCGGCAUGCAUAGGACGGUUUCACCUACUACUAUAUUUAGAUCCCGCAAACCGUCCUAGUUGAGCUAUAAAUAGAUGGCUCCCCUCUCAUUUGUAACACACACCAUC